rnacentral:lncRNA from 1 species
GAGAGCUUGUAGGUUUCUUGACUUAAUCAUUCUGGAAUUAAGGUAAUGGAUCCUCAACACCUUUUCUUUCCCUGGCCUUUACUAACCAUGUAACAGAAAUGAGCAGAGAAAACCCAAGAAAGCGAACUGGAGACUUGAUGAGUGUGUCAAAGAUGCUCAGAGUCCAAGGUCCUCUGUGGCUCACUGACUUCAGAAGCCAACCUCCGUUGUUCAAGUCACUUGUGAGGUUACUAUGCUAGAGCACUAAAUAUUAUCCAGAUAGCCCAAAGAGGUGAAGGCAGACAUGUGGAAGAACCUGGAUUUUUGGGCAAGUUGAUGAAUGCCUCCUGCCCCAUAUCAAAGAGAGGUGAUAGGAGACAACUUUGUGAAUUUGAAAUAAUGCACCGGGGAAACAGGAAAACGUAAUACAAAAUCCCACCAGGAUAGAGAGAAUAGGAGAGGAGAUAACAGCAUCAUAAUUUAUGAAACUAAAAUGCAGAUAGACCAGGAUUAACUGACUACACAGCACCAAGGAAGCUGAAUCACAAGACAGCAGAGGAGAAAACUGGAAAGGAUCGUGGUCUAUACGGCAGAAUCUUCCCAAGCCUCAGGAGGAGGAGCUCUAGAUGUUCCCAGAUCUGGGAGUCCAGGGCACCUUGUUGUGACUAUCCCAAAGGCAGCCACUUUCCCUGGUCUGAAAGACCUGAAGAGAGAAGAGAAGAGAAGGAUGGAAGGCAGAGUAUGCGGCUUUGAUUCAUUUCCUGGUGAAAACAGAUCUAUACAAGAAGCAAAUUUCACGAAAGGGAAGAGAAGAAAGUGUCCCAUACGUUGCUGGCCUGUUUCAACCUUGCUUUGAUUCUUGCUGAAAAGGGUACCGUGUAUUUCUGAGUUCAACAUGCAGACCAGUGUUAGGAAAGCCACUGCACCUCCACUUUAGCCUCCAGGGCUGUGCCCUGCAAAUGGCCUGCAGCCUUGGUGCCUCGCUCUCCAGACUGCAUUUUGGAAGAUGGGACAGAGGCUUAUGGAAGCCCACAUUAGAACGGGGGAGCAGAAUGGGUGAGAUGAGGGAUCCUUGAUAGUGAACCAGAUGAAGGAAUGGUAGCCAAAUGCCAGGCCUCCUUUGUGGCUUCAAUCCAAAGGCUCUGGAGCCCUUCCAGGGCAGAACAUCAGGCAUGUUUACCCCCACUGUCCUCAACAGUGACAGAGGUGCAAUCUUGGGCAGCUGGCCAUUUUGAAAGCAACCUCCUUAAUCUCAACUGGGAAGGCUCCCUAGCAGGACCCCUGUGUUGCACACCUGGAGGAAGCUAGACUAACCAGAAGCUCAGCACGGUUCCAUCUGGGAUGCCCAGGUCUGAGACGAAAAAGGUAACUCUCUUUUCUGGGUCCUGGCCCAGUUGUGUCUCUCUCCACCUCAUUCUCUGAGAUGCCUGUCUCCCCUUUUUUGUCCCAUCAGGAGGCAAGAGCUAUCACUGGGCCAGACUCCACCAGAAGCCAAGCCAGCUUGUUACCCAGCUUCUCAAGGAGCAAAGAACAGCCUUGUUUCUAUCUUAUCCCCACUGUCCCCUGCCCCUGCCCCACCUCCCAGCCAUUCAGCUUCUGGCUUCCCCAGAGCUGCCUGCUUCUUUGUGGUCCUCCAUUCCUUGAAAAGACCUUCUAGUCAUUAGUGUAUAUAAAUGGCCACUUAGCCCAGAUUACAGUGAGGUCAACAGCUGGGGCUCUGAGAAUUGUCACACACUGGCACAGGAGAGGAGGCUAUUCUUCCAGAGAAUUUGGAGGGCACUCCCAUCCACUUACAACAAAAAGCCCAUCCACUGUGCUUGGCAGUAGGUGAUCUGAGAACCAAUGGAACCAGGUUAAUCCUGUGGCACUGUUGAGUGAGGAGAGCAGUGGCGGGCACUGGAAAAUAUCAGAGACAAGGCAGGAGACCUGAAAUCUAGGCUUAGCUCCUCAUAUACUUGGCAGCUGUAUGACCUCAGACAACCAGUGUUACCUCUCUAAGCCUCAGUUUCCUCAUGCAAAAGGAGGGGGAAUAACAACGGAGCCCACUGCUUGGGGGUGUUGUGAGGACAGGAUGAAAAAACAAACAGAAAUCCCUCAGUACAGGAUUCAGUGCAGUGGACAGUCUUGCAAGGUCCGGUUCAGCCCUCCACCCCUACCCUCACCAGUAUAAAGAACUCUGGCCUACAAGUCAGAUGACCUGAGUUUUAAUCUCAGCUUUGCCAUUAGCCGUGUGAACUUGAGAAAGUCCCUUUCCUUUUUACAUCUAUUGAGAUGAUCAUGCAUUUUUUGUCCUUUACUCUGUUAAUAUAGUGUGUUACAUUGAUUGCUUUUCAUAGACUGAACCAGCCUUGUAUUCCAGGGAUAAAUCUCACUUGGUCAUGGUGUAUAAUCCUUUAUACAAAUGUUGCUGGGUUGAGUUUGCUAGUAUUUUGUUGAAGAUUUUUAUGUCUUGAUUCAUAAGGAAUAUUGGUGUACCUUCCCCUUUUAUGGCCACAGUUUCCCUACAAUGAUGUAGUCGAACUAGACAACCUCCAAUAUCUUUCAGUAUUCAUGUCCUCUGAUUCUGUGAAACUAAGAAAAUUAAGAAAUAGUGAUUCAUAGGCACAAGGCAGGCAAAACUUAGACUCCUUGUAGAAUAAUUAGGAAGCCAAAUAUUCAGUGUGCUUAUUUCUCAAAUAACCUUAGUUUCUCCAGUCUGCCCCAACUCCGAGGCCUGAAUAUCUCUAGAUGCUUAUGAUGGCAACUAAAGCCUAAAAGCUAAUUCAUUUUAAAGUUCUUCCAAAUGCAUAGGGUUUUAUUUUUCCAGACCUGGGUUCAGAUGGGGAAUUUGACAAACAAUGGAAAGGGGGAAAAACAACAAUCUAAACACUGAGUGACAAAGUAACAAAGAAAUAGUCUAGCUAUCAGCCAGUCAAGCCAGCCUUGGCUUUGUUAUCCAAAGUAGUCAGUCUAAUUCUACCACCAGUUUCUGUUCCUGUAGCUGUCUACUGCCUGCCAGGGACUCUGCCUUCCCACCCACAACUACCAAUGGAAGGAUGUGGUGACCAUACCAGUGGCUGCUGACAUCUCCUGCCAUGGGAAACAUAAUUGCCUCCAGCAGCCUCCCCCUUAGAUCCAUCAUUUUUGCUGCACUUGGCCUGGGCUGUACUCCCGGCCAAUGACUGAACAUGGUGAGCAUAGUAAUGCAGGCCCAUUUCUGUGAGGAGCAGGACUCCUCCAGUAGGUGACUUUGGCUCAAGGACUCUCUAUUGGCCUGGUUGAACUUUUCCUGAACUGUGCUACUGUCUGAGACUCUUCUUACCCAAUCCUCUUUCUCGCCCCAAUUGUCACAGACCACCUGCAUUGUGGUCUGAGUCUCUCCCCACCUUCUCUUGCUCUUCCCUGUUUAUCUUUCACAGGCAUUUCCCCCAGUACAUUCCUUGAAUGUCUAACCCGAUACGGGUGCCUGACUUUUGGCAGACCUAAGCAGACAAAAAGGAGUACUUGGUUACCUAGCUCUUCUUUCUACCACAAACAUCGAGGGAACCCUUUUUCCCUCACCCCUCUGCCACACCCCCACUGCCCCAGUGAACAACCACAGAGAGAGCUGUGGUAUAAUAUUAGGCUGGUGCAAAAGUAAUUGCGGUUUUUGCCAUUACUUUUAAUGGUAAAAACCGCAAUUACUUUUGCACCUACCUAGUAUUUGUGUCCCCCCAAAUUCAUAUGUUGAAACCUAACCCACAAUAUGAUGUCAUUAGGAGGCAAGACCUUGAGGAGGUGAUUAGAUGAUGGGGUGGAGCUCUCCUGAAUGAGAUUAGUGCCCUUAUAAGAAGAAGCCCAAGGAAGCUACCUUGACUCUUCCAUCACAUGAGAAUGCAGCAAGAAGGCACCAUCUACUAAUCAGGAAGAGAGCUCUCACCAGACACUGAAUCUGCCAGUGUCUUGAUCUUGAAGUUCCCAGCCUCCAGAACUAUGCAUAAUGCAUUUCCAUUGUCUCUAAGCCACCCAGCCUAUGGUAUUUUGUCAUAGCAGCCUGAACUGACUAAGACAGUGAGCCACAUGAGAAGUGCCCCAACCCCUCCCUUAAGCACUUGGCUCACAGAUCAGUGGGUUCAUUUCUGCCUGAGUUUUAUUGUUAUUCUGUAGAUUUCUUGGGCUAGAUAUAUUUUUCUGUUAUUUUCCUUCUUCACCUCAGUCAUGAAUUGGUUGUUUUAAAAAAGACAAUGUAAGUCAUGGGGAAACUCCUGACAACUCUACUCUCCUAGGGUUCCUGAUAAAAGGGGAUUCAGUUGAGUCCUCUGAUGGUCUCUACCUGCCAAAGUCCAGCAGCCCUUAGCAAACAUGCUGCUCGUUUCUGUAGAGAAGGUGCUGGUGUCCCACCAUACUUCUCUCUCCCUCAUGAAGGGCUUGCGACCCAGCAAAUGGGUGGCUUAUAUGGGUCUGUUUCAAAGGAAGAGCCAGCUCUGGGAAGAAAAACGAUGAGCAUAAGCAUAACCUACCACUGUGCCUGGGAAAGCAGACAACUUUUUUGAUGUGUGAAUAUCUAAUGAGAAUGGAAUCCAUCAAUUACCUUAAACUUAGGCACAGUCUUCAAAUUCAAUAUAUGUGGGAUAUACUUUUAGUCAGUUUGUAGACGUUAUUUGUAAUAAAUAAUCUGGCUUCUCUAAAGAAAUUAUUUUAAGUGUUUGGUUUGGUUUGAUUUAAUGGUAAAAUUAUAUUUAGUGGCAGAGAAUUAUAGCAAUGGUGAUAAACUAUAGAGUGUCAUAAGUUCAUAUCUUAUUCUCACAUUUGAAGCUGCCUGCAGAUGCAUUCAAGAUGCAGCCAGAAGUCAGGAGACUCAGGCUGUUAUUUGGAGCUCAUCAUUUUACAGCCUUGCUGGACUCCCACUUUCUCAGGGGAAAAAUGUGGUGUUGACCCAGAUUAGCUCUCCAGGCCCUGCUGAGUUGGGCACUCUGUAAGCUGGAGGGUCUUCUAUUGUCUUCACCUAAGUGUCAAUCAACAACCCAAAUGGGCAUGGGGGAAGAGGGAGCUGGGCCAAUGCCCAGGGUGCCUGGUAGAGAGAUACCUUGGGCACUGGAAGGCACCAGCUUCCCAGAGAGAAGGGGGAGGGCCAUGAAAAAGUUGGCUGUAGAUGCCAGGGACACUGGGACUCUCCAGCUGUGUGUUUGUGUCUUCUGAAGACUUAUGUUUCAUUCCUUUGGAGCAUGCAUAAUCAUACACUGUGGGAUGUGUUAUAUAGAUUGCUUGAUAGUUCACCACUGUAAUAAAAUACUGUGACUGGAAUCUGCUCCCAGUCUGCCUUUGAUAGCACUUGUGCAACACACAUUUACUGAGCAUUUACAGUGAUCCAGGACCUGUGUUGUGAAAACAUUGAUGGACAAGGCAGAUGGUGGAGCACGUCAGUGAGGAUUUUUAACAAAGGCUGGUAAGUGCUAUAAAGGAACAUUGUAGGACACUAGAGAACAAAGAACAGGAGAACCUGACUUAGGCUGGGGUGGGGCGUUGGUUAGAGGAGGCUCCUUGGAGGACAUGAGGUUUAAGCUGUGACCUGAGGAUGAAUAGAUGUUGGCCAGGUGAGGGGCCCUGGGGAAGAAAGUUGGCAAAAUUCCUAAACCAACUUGAUCUAUGUCACAGCUUCACCCAGUGCUACUCCUAUUCUAAGACCCAAUGAAUACCCGGGUCACAUAGGGAGAAUGCUUGCAAAAUGUUGGAUGUCCUUGGGAAAAGAGCUGCUUUCUGCAGUCACGUGGAAUCAUCCCACAGACCGCUG